rnacentral:rRNA from 1 species
CAGUCGCCACGGUAAUACGAAGGGUGCAAGCGUUAAUCGGAAUUACUGGGCGUAAAGCGUGCGUAGGCGGUUUGUUAAGUCUGCUGUGAAAUCCCCGGGCUCAACCUGGGAAUAGCAGUGGAUACUGGCAAGCUAGAGUGUGUCAGAGGAUGGUGGAAUUCCCGGUGUAGCGGUGAAAUGCGUAGAGAUCGGGAGGAACAUCAGUGGCGAAGGCUGCCAUCUGGGACAACACUGACGCUGAGGCACGAAAGCGUGGGGAGCAAACAGGAUUAGAUACCCGUGUAGUCCCUGUCUCUUAUAC